rnacentral:rRNA from 1 species
UCCGUAGGCGGUGUGGCAAGUCGGAAGUGAAAUCUCUGGGCUUAACUCAGAGGCUGCUUCCGAAACUGCCGUGCUAGAGUGCGAGAGAGGCAAGUGGAAUUGCGGGUGUAGCGGUGAAAUGCGUAGAUAUCCGCAGGAACAUCCGAGGCGAAAGCGGCUUGCUGGAUCGCAACUGACGCUGAGGGACGAAAGCUAGGGGAGCAAACAGGAUUAGAUACCCUGGUAGUCCUAGCCCUAAACCAUCAGGGACUUGGGGUUUGCCCUGUACGGGGCAAGUCCCGUAGCUAACGCGUUAAGUCCUGCGCCUGGGGAGUACGGUCGCAAGGCUGAA